GCAGGAUUAGGGCAACCUUGCAGCCCGAGGCUCGGCAGCUACCAUCUGCAAAGAAUGGGUGCCACCUUUAGCCCGGAAGGAGCUUCCACAGCUUCAUGCAAACUGCUGAGCCCAGAGUGACCAGCCUAGCUUGCUGCACACAGUUUUCAAGAAGUGUUUCUGACUGGUUGCUUGAGGGUUAACUUCCAGUCAGAGUAGGCACGAUGGAUGAAAGGCUUGUCAUCUGUUUGGGUGGCCAUGCAGGACGAGGCCCCAAAUACUGCUUCCAAACCAAGCAUCUAUGUUCUUCAAACAUCUCACCUGAAACCAUACUUAAUAUCAGAACUCAUCCUGACUUUUAAAAGGAGAAGAAAUCACAUAUUGGAAAUGAGAUGCGCAUGGAUUAGAUGUCCUCAAAGAAAGGGGUCCACUCAUUGA
rnacentral:lncRNA from 1 species